rfam:Triticum urartu cultivar G1812 contig658082, whole genome shotgun sequence.
AACCUACUCCCUCCGUUCGGAAAUACUUGUCAUCAACAUGAAUAAAAGGGGACGUAUCUAGAUGUAUUUUAGUUCUAGAUACAUCCCUCUUUAUUUUCGGAUGGAGGGAGUAUUUG